UCACCUAACGAUGAAUCAAUCGUCCAGCUCGACUGCCAGAGCAUAGACUUGAUUCGGGAGGGAGCCUCCGAUUUUGGUCGCUGCAAGACGGGACUCUCUUGGCUCCAGAGCGCCGAAAAAAUUGGAAACUGCACGACAAGGCCAUCAGGAAAAAAAAAAGCGGGCCUUGCAAGAGACACAUGCAGCCUUUGGAAUUCCUCAACGUCAUGUGCCACAGGGUGCCACACCAUUGUCGAGCCGAACCAACAGCUCACCUAACGGAUGAAUAAUCGUCAGCUCGGUGCAGAGCAUAGACUGUUUCGGGAGGGAGCCUCGAUUUGGCGCUGCAAGACGGACUCUCUGGGGGGGGGGGGGGGGGGGGGGGGGGGGGGGGGGGGAGGGAGCCUCCGAUUUUGAGUCGCUGCAAGACGGGACUCUCUUGGCUCCAGAGCGCCGAAUAAAAUUGAAACUGCACGACAAGGCCAUCAGGAAAAAACAGCGGGCCUUUGCAAGAGGCACAUGCAGCCUCUUGGAAUUCCUCAACGUCAUGUGCCACAGGGUGCCACACCAUUGUCGAGCCGAAACCAACAUGCCUCACCUAACGUGAAUCAAUCGUCCAGCUCGAUCUGCCAGAGCAUAGACUUGUUUCGGGAGGGAGCCUCCGAUUUUGAGUCGCUGCAAGACGGGACUCUCUUGGCUCCAGAGCCCGAAAAAAUUGGAAACUGCACGACAAGGUCCAUCAGGAAAAACAGCGGGCCUUUGCAAGAGGCACAUGCAGCCUCUUGGAAUUCCUCAACGUCAUGUGCCACAGGGUGCCACACCAUUGUCGAGCCGAAACCAACAUGCCUCACCUAACGGAUGAAUCAAUCGUCCAGCUCGAUCUGCCAGAGCAUAGACUUGUUCGGGAGGGAGCCUCCGAUUUUGAGUCGCUGCAAGACGGGACUCUCUUGGCUCCAGAGCGCCGAAAAAAUUGGAAACUGCACGACAAGGCCAUCAGGAAAAAACAGCGGGCCUUUGCAAGAGACACAUGCAGCCUCUUGGAAUUCCUCAACGUCAUGUGCCACAGGGUGCCACACCAUUGUCGAGCCGAAACCAACAUGCCUCACCUAACGGAUGAAUUAAUCGUCCAGCUCGUCUGCCAGAGCAUAGACUUGUUUCGGGAGGGAGCCUCCGAUUUUGAGUCGCUGCAAGACGGGACUCUUGGCUCCAGAGCGCCGAAAAAAUUGGAAACUGCACGACAAGGCCAUCAGGAAAAAACAGCGGGCCUUUGCAAGAGGCACGUGCAGCCUCUUGGAAUUGUGCCACAGGGUGCCACACCAUUGUCGAGCCGAAACCACAUGCCUCACCUAACGGAUGAAUUAACCGUCCAGCUCGAUCUGCCAAGCAUAGACUUGUUUCGGGAGGGAGCCUCCGAUUUUGAGUCGCUGCAAGACGGGACUCUCUUGGCUCCAGAGCGCCGAAAAAAUUGGGAACUGCACGACAAGGCCAUCAGGAAAAAACAGCGGGCCUUUGCAAGAGGCACAUGCAGCCUCUUGGAAUUCCUCAACGUCAUGUGCCACAGGGUGCCACACCAUUGUCGAGCCGAAACCAACAUGCCUCACCUAACGGAUGAAUUAAUCGUCCAGCUCGAUCUGCCAGAGCAUAGACUUGUUCGGGAGGGAGCCUCCGAUUUUGAGUCGCUGCAAGACGGGACUCUCUUGCUCCAGAGCGCCGAAAAAUUCGAAACUGCACGACAAGGCCAUCAGGAAAAACAGCGGGCCUUUGCAAGAGGCACAUGCAGCCUCUUGGAAUUCCUCAACGUCAUGUGCCACAGGGUGCCACACCAUUGUCGAGCCGAAACCAACAUGCCUCACCUAACGGAUGAAUUAAUCGUCCAGCUCGAUCUGCCAGAGCAUAGACUUGUUUCGGGAGGGAGCCUCCGAUUUGAGUCGCUGCAAGACGGGACUCUCUUGGCUCCAGAGCGCCGAAAAAAUUCGAAACUGCACGACAAGGCCAUCAGGAAAAAACAGCGGGCCUUUGCAAGAGGCACAUGCAGCCUCUUGGAAUUGUGCCACAGGGUGCCACACCAUUGUCGAGCCGAACCCAACAUGCCUCACCUAACGGAUGAAUUAAUCGUCCAGCUCGAUCUGCCAGAGCAUAGACUUGUUUCGGGAGGGAGCCUCCGAUUUUGA
rnacentral:lncRNA from 1 species